UUUAGAAGAGGCAAGUCGUAACAUGGUAAGCUUACCGGAAGGUGUGCUUGGAAA
rnacentral:rRNA from 1 species